UACCGAGGGUGCAAGCGUUAAUCGGAAUUACUGGGCGUAAAGCGUGCGUAGACGGUUAUUUAAGUCAGGUGUGAAAGCCCCGGGCUCAACCUGGGAAUUGCAUUUGAGACUGAAUAGCUAGGGUGCGGAAGAGGGAAGCGGAAUUUCCGGUGUAGCGGUGAAAUGCGUAGAUAUCGGAAGGAACACCAGUGGCGAAAGCGGCUUCCUGGUCCAGCACCGACGUCAGGCACGAAAGCGUGGGGAGCAAACAGG
rnacentral:rRNA from 1 species